rnacentral:rRNA from 1 species
AGUGAACGCUGGCGGUAGGCCUAACACAUGCAAGUCGAACGGCAGCACAGUAAGAGCUUGCUCUUACGGGUGGCGAGUGGCGGACGGGUGAGGAAUACAUCGGAAUCUACUUUUUCGUGGGGGAUAACGUAGGGAAACUUACGCUAAUACCGCAUACGACCUACGGGUGAAAGCAGUGGAUCUUCGGACCUUGCGCGAUUGAAUGAGCCGAUGUCGGAUUAGCUAGUUGGCGGGGUAAAGGCCCACCAAGGCGACGAUGCGUAGCUGGUCUGAGAGGAUGAUCAGCCACACUGGAACUGAGACACGGUCCAGACUCCUACGGGAGGCAGCAGUGGGGAAUAUUGGACAAUGGGCGCAAGCCUGAUCCAGCAAUACCGCGUGGGUGAAGAAGGCCUUCGGGUUGUAAAGCCCUUUUGUUGGGAAAGAAAAGCAGCAGGUUAAUACCCCGCUGUUCUGACGGUACCCAAAGAAUAAGCACCGGCUAACUUCGUG